rnacentral:pre_miRNA from 1 species
AAAAAAAAAAGACAUGGUUUCUGUGUCUAACGUUUGACCGUCCGUCUUAUUUAAAAAAAUUAUGAAAAAAUAAUUAAAAAGACAAGUCACGCAUAAAAUAUUAAUUAUGUUUUAUCAUCUAACAACAAUGAAAAUAUGAAUUAUAAAAAAUUUAUAUAAGACGGACAGUCAAAGUUGGACACGAAAAUUCAGGAUUUGUCUUUUU